GGCCUCAUCGUCUAAUGGUUAGGACGUCGCCUUCUCACGGCGGAAAUAGGGGUUCGAUUCCCCUUGAGGCUACCA
rnacentral:tRNA from 1 species